rnacentral:rRNA from 1 species
UACGUAGGGACGAGCGUUGUCCGGAAUUACUGGGCGUAAAGGGCGCGCAGGCGGGAGAUUAAGUCGGCGGUGAAAUUUUGCAGCUCAACUGUAAAAGUGCCUUCGAAACUGGUUUCCUUGAGUGUAGAUGAGGUAGGCGGAAUUUGUGGUGUAGCGGUGAAAUGCAUAGAUAUCACGAGGAACUCCGAUUGCUAAGGCAGCUUACUAAGCCAUAACUGACGCUCAAGCACGAAGGCGUGGGGAUCAAACAGGAUUAGAUACCCGUGUAGU